GAUGAACGCUGGCGGCGUGCCUAAUACAUGCAAGUCGAGCGAACGGACGAGAAGCUUGCUUCUCUGAUGUUAGCGGCGGACGGGUGAGUAACACGUGGAUAACCUACCUAUAAGACUGGGAUAACUUCGGGAAACCGUAGCUAAUACCGGAUAAUAUUUUGAACCGCAUGGUUCAAAAGUGAAAGACGGUCUUGCUGUCACUUAUAGAUGGAUCCGCGCUGCAUUAGCUAGUUGGUAAGGUAACGGCUUACCAAGGCAACGAUGCAUAGCCGACCUGAGAGGGUGAUCGGCCACACUGGAACUGAGACACGGUCCAGACUCCUACGGGAGGCAGCAGUAGGGAAUCUUCCGCAAUGGGCGAAAGCCUGACGGAGCAACGCCGCGUGAGUGAUGAAGGUCUUCGGAUCGUAAAACUCUGUUAUCAGGGAAGAACAUAUGUGUAAGUAACUGUGCACAUCUUGACGGUACCUAAUCAGAAAGCCACGGCUAACUACGUG
rnacentral:rRNA from 1 species